rnacentral:rRNA from 1 species
AUAUCAGUCAUGCAUAGUAUAUCAAUAAGCGGAGGAAAAGAAACUAACAAGGAUUCCCCUAGUAACGGCGAGUGAAGCGGGAAGAGCUCAAAUUUGAAAUCUUAAAGGGUUUUCCCUUUACGAAUUGUAGUUUAAAGAAGUGUUUUCUGUUGGAGUUUCGGUAAAAGUUCUUUGGAAUAGGUCAUCAUAGAGGGUGAGAAUCCCGUAUUUGACCGUUACUUUCCAGCUGUGUGAUACACUUUCAACGAGUCGGAUCGUUUGGGAAUGCAGUCCAAAAUGGGUGGUAAAUUUCAUCUAAAGCUAAAUAUUGGCGAGAGACCGAUAGCGAACAAGUACCGUGAGGGAAAGAUGAAAAGAACUUUGAAAAGAGAGUUAAACAGUACGUGAAAUUGUCAAAAGGGAAGCGUUUGACACCAGUGUUGUUUUUCCGAAAAUCAAUUACGAAUGUUUUGUUUUUAAGAAGUUAUGACUUCAUCGGCUUGCUUCUCUUCUUUACGAAACUUUCUUAAUGCACUUUUCGGUUAACAAGUCAACAUCAAUUUCUUUUGUUGUAAAAGGGUAUGAGGAAGGUGGCUUUCUUUUCGGAGAAAGUGUUUAUAGCCUUGUGCCUCUGCAAUCGGAGAGAUUGAGGUCUGCAGCGUAGAUCCUUCGGGGUUAGAUACAUUUGUGCUAAGUUAUAGCUUUUCAUAGACAACUUGUUGACUAUGUUUAGUCUUGUAGCUUACUCGCUUAUGCUAUUUUACCUACGCUUAGGAUGUUGAUCUCUCACAGUCGAGC